UAGGAGAUUAAGGUCCCCCUUAUAUUCUCCACCCAUCUGCGGAGGGUUUACGUACUGUCUCCGCGGAGACCUUACCUUGCUUCCCAGACAACUCAGAGAAGUACACGCAACUAGAAAAUGAAAGUCGGAAGUAGUGCUUUCUACGGUAUGAUCCGAAACUAGGCAAAGAACUUUCUUCUCUUAUCUUAAGAUAUUCUAUCUCGAGUUACCGUCGCAUCAACGGGAAAGAGACGACAAGCCUAUUCUAUUAUAUGAUACCCAAAUCAGAAUGGCGUCUAUUCGGAGAGAGUGAGUGACGAAGCGGAUAAGCUCCUGCUAAGCUAAACUCAAACUGCGUCGUCUCAGCCAUCAGGGAGUAGAACGAAAAUACCAUAAUAAGUGCCAAUUUGACAGUUAUCAGAAAAGAGUUCAAAUAGCAGGCAAUCAAGGGCAUUCUUGGAACAAGGAGAUGCAGGACCUUUUUAGUAAUUUUGACCGAAAACAGCAACUAGAAAAAGGGAAAAGAAAGCAAACCUCGGGGGAGGCUUCUUCCUCUCCGGAAGGAGAGCCGCCGCACAGCCUUGAGGACGUUAGAGAGGAGUAGAGCAAACAAUGGCAGACAACUUUUUGGCUUAGUCUUUUGACUUUUCCUUGUGGGCUCAAGUAGCUUUUCCUUUUCCUUCUCGUAUGAUUGGACAAGUAGAAACCAUAGAAUCAAUUGCUGUAGCUUUGCUAUCUUUUCAAACAUUGGAACCGAAUUGAAUUUCCCCAAUUUCAAGAGACAAUGGCCGCGGCUCUCUUUACAAUUUCUUGUGGGUUCUUUUCAUUCGGGAUGAACUAAAUCCCUUUGUCUAGUCAAGGAACAACGGAGGCUUUGAUUCGUCUAAAAAUUGUGAGAUCGAUUUAAUUUUAUCUUUUUCUUUUAUUUAUUGGUAUUCGCAUA